CGCAACUUGUCGGAGUGCCUUAAUUGGCUGAGAUCGCAUUUUAAUGCGGGAUCCGCAGAACCUGAUCAGGCUAAUACCUGCGAAGGGAACAAGAAAGCAUCAUUU
rnacentral:ncRNA from 1 species